rnacentral:rRNA from 1 species
GUGUGACUGCGUACCUUUUGUAUAAUGGGUCAGCGACUUAUAUUCUGUAGCAAGGUUAACCGAAUAGGGGAGCCGAAGGGAAACCGAGUCUUAACUGGGCGUUAAGUUGCAGGGUAUAGACCCGAAACCCGGUGAUCUAGCCAUGGGCAGGUUGAAGGUUGGGUAACACUAACUGGAGGACCGAACCGACUAAUGUUGAAAAAUUAGCGGAUGACUUGUGGCUGGGGGUGAAAGGCCAAUCAAACCGGGAGAUAGCUGGUUCUCCCCGAAAGCUAUUUAGGUAGCGCCUCGUGAAUUCAUCUCCGGGGGUAGAGCACUGUUUCGGCAAGGGGGUCAUCCCGACUUACCAACCCGAUGCAAACUGCGAAUACCGGAGAAUGUUAUCACGGGAGACACACGGCGGGUGCUAACGUCCGUCGUGAAGAGGGAAACAACCCAGACCGCCAGCUAAGGUCCCAAAGUCAUGGUUAAGUGGGAAACGAUGUGGGAAGGCCCAGACAGCCAGGAUGUUGGCUUAGAAGCAGCCAUCAUUUAAAGAAAGCGUAAUAGCUCACUGGUCGAGUCGGCCUGCGCGGAAGAUGUAACGGGGCUAAACCAUGCACCGAAGCUGCGGCAGCGACGCUUAUGCGUUGUUGGGUAGGGGAGCGUUCUGUAAGCCU